AUACAGGUUUGUAGAUUAACUAAACUUAGUGUUAAUUUUCAUUGGCUGAAACUAGGGUAUGUCCCUUUAAAACAAAAGAAAUAGGUGCUACAUGUAGUGAGAUACUUACAAAAUUAGUUUUCCUGUAUAAUAAACCCCUAGGUGAUGACCCGAUCAGCUCAGCACAAAACAAACACCUGGCCACCCCUAGGUGAUGACCCGAUCAGCUCAGCACAAAACAAACACCUGGCCACCCCUAGGUGAUGACCCGAUCAGCUCAGCACAAAACAAACAUCUGGCCACCCCUAGGUGAUGACCCGAUCAGCCCAGCACAAAACAAACACCUUGCCACCCCUAGGUGAUGACCCGAUCAGCCCAGCACAAAACAAACACCUGGCCACCCCUAGGUGAUGACCCGAUCAGCUCAGCACAAAACAAACACCUGGCCACCCCUAGGUGAUGACCCGAUCAGCCCAGCUAUUUUACACAA